rnacentral:rRNA from 1 species
UCCAGACUCCUACGGGAGGCAGCAGUGGGGGAUAUUGCACAAUGGGGGGAACCCUGAUGCAGCGACGCCGCGUGGGUGAAGAAGCGCCUCGGCGCGUAAAGCCCUAUCGGCAGGGAAGAAGAAAUGACGGUACCUGAAUAAGAAGCCCCGGCUAACUACGUGCCAGCAGCCGCGGUAAUACGUAGGGGGCAAGCGUUAUCCGGAUUUACUGGGUGUAAAGGGGGCGCAGACGGCGAUGCAAGCCAGGAGUGAAAGCCCGGGGCCCAACCCCGGGACUGCAUUGGAAACUGCGAGGCUGGAGUGUCGGAGAGGCAGGCGGAAUUCCUAGUGUAGCGGUGAAAUGCGUAGAUAUUAGGAGGAACACCAGUGGCGAAGGCGGCCUGCUGGACGAUGACUGACGCUGAGGCUCGAAAGCGUGGGGAGCAAACAGGAUUAGAUACCCUGGUA